CCUACGGGAGGCUGCAGUGAGGAAUAUUGGUCAAUGGGCGAGAGCCUGAACCAGCCAAGUCGCGUGAAGGAUGACGGCCCUACGGGUUGUAAACUUCUUUUGUCAGGGAGCAAUUGGGUUCACGCGUGGGCUUAGCGAGAGUACCUGAAGAAAAAGCAUCGGCUAACUCCGUGCCAGCAGCCGCGGUAAUACGGAGGAUGCGAGCGUUCUCCGGAUUGAUUGGGUUAAAAGGGUGCGUAGGCGGAAUAUCAAGUCAGCGGUAAAAAUUCGGGGCUCAACCCCGUCGUGCCGUUGAAACUGGUGUGCUUGAGUGGGCGAGAAGUGUGCAGAAUGCGUGGUGUAGCGGUGAAAUGCAUAGAUAUCACGCAGAACUCCGAUUGCGAAGGCAGCAUACCGGCGCCCAACUGACGCUGAAGCACGAAAGCGUGGGUAUCGAACAGGAUUAGAUACCCCAGUAGUC
rnacentral:rRNA from 1 species